rnacentral:lncRNA from 1 species
GCGGAUCGUGUUGGGUGCGGGUGACGCCGCCGAGCGUGAGUGUCCCUCAGUAUGGAUUAAACUUGCGAACCGCCGUGCCCCGUUUCCGCAGCCAGUUCCCGGGCUCGCUACAGACCUUUUUUUUUUUCUUUUUUUUUUUUUUUGGUGAGACGGAGAUUUACUCUUGUUGUCCAGGCUGGAGUGCAAUGGCGCGAUUUCGGCUCACCGCAUCCUCCGCCUCCCAGGUUCAAGCGAUUCUCCUGCCUCAGCCUCCCGAGUAGCUGGGAUUACAGGCAUGUGCCACCACGCCCGGCUAAUUUUGUAUUUUUAGUAGAGACGGGGUUUCACCGUGUUGCCCAGGCUGAUCUCGAACUCCUGACCUCAGGAAGAACCCUUGAAGAAGAGGAAGAGGAAAGAAAGACAAGUCAGGCAUGGCUCUCACCCAGGAUAUUACAGAGUAUACAGAUGAACAGCCAGAUGUAAGCAGUCUAUUGGGGACAGGUGACAUUCAGGGAUGUGGCUAUAGAAUUCUCUCAGGAGGAGUGGACAUGCCUGGACCCCGCUCAGAGGACUUUGUACAGGGACGUGAUGUUGGAGAAUUAUAGGAACCUGGCCUCCCUGGGAAUCUCUUGUUUUGACCUCAGUAUUAUCUCUAUGUUGGAGCAAGGGAAGGAGCCUUUCACUUUGGAGAGCCAAGUACAAAUAGCAGGAAACCCAGAUGGAUGGGAAUGGAUCAAAGCUGUGAUCACAGCUCUCUCUUCCGAAUUUGUAAUGAAAGAUUUACUACACAAAGGGAAGAGUAAUACAGGAGAAGUAUUCCAAACAGUGAUGUUGGAAAGACAGGAAAGCCAAGACAUUGAAGGAUGUUCCUUCAGGGAAGUCCAGAAAAAUACACAUGGCCUUGAGUAUCAAUGCAGAGAUGCUGAAGGAAAUUACAAAGGAGUGCUUUUGACCCAAGAAGGCAAUCUCACUCAUGGAAGAGAUGAACAUGAUAAAAGAGAUGCAAGAAACAAGCUUAUUAAAAAUCAGCUUGGAUUAAGCCUUCAGUCACAUCUGCCUGAACUGCAGCUUUUUC